ACCGGACCCUUCGGGAGCUUGUACAGGUGCUGCAUGGCUGUCGUCAGCUCGUGUCGUGAGAUGUUCGGUUAAGUCCGCUAACGAGCGCAACCCUCGCUGUGUGUUACAAGUGUCACACGGAACUGCCGGUCAUAAACCGGAGGAAGGUGGGGAUGACGUCAAGUCAGCAUGGCCUUUAUAUCCUGGGCUACACACACGCUACAAUGGGAAGGGACAAUAGGUUGCGAAGCCGCGAGGCGGAGCCAAUCCAGCAAAACUUCCCUCAGUUCAGAUUGCAGGCUGCAACUCGCCUGCAUGAAGUUGGAGUUGCUAGUAAACGCAGGUCAGCCAUACUGCGUUGAAUACGUUCCCGGGGCUU
rnacentral:rRNA from 1 species